UUCUAUGGUCGGGCGGAUGGGGCCACCGCAAGGUGGGCCGCUCCUCAGGGCGGUAGUGCAAACCCUGUUCGUCCGGCCACCCGG
rfam:Roseovarius indicus strain B108 contig20, whole genome shotgun sequence.